UUAAAAGGCCAGUGUGUCGAAGACUUAGUUCCCAGCUUGACACAGUUGGGGUGGUGGACGCUUUAAGGGGCGGAGCCUAGAGGGAGACUUCUGACCACUAGGGGGCGCCCCUUGCAGAUGUCCAGUAACUGUUUGUUGAAUAGAUGAGUGAAAAGCUACUACAGGUUCAAGAAGUCAUUGUGUGUUGCAUAGGACAAUACUAUUAAGAAGACACCAGGAACCUACAAACAGAGUAAACAAUGACACGGUCCUUUGGUGUCUAUGAUGAUUGCUGCAGAAAAUCCAUGAGCUCUUUGGGCCAAAUAGUUAACCUACAGAGGAAUAGGUCCACGAACUGCAAAACUGAAGUGCUUCUGCAGACUGGAGUUGAGGGCGAGAGGCUGAUACAUUUUUUGGUUUGCUGUAUUUGAAGACACCUUGAAACACUCACUCUCAGACCACCUUUGGAUCUAAACAUAGAUUGAUAAAUUUUUCACUCAUUGACCCAGCUCAUUAACUUAAGUACAAAAGAAAACACACAACAUGAAUUUAAUUUAAAAAAAUCUUAGAGGCCUUGGUGUUUACUUACAUAAUCCCACUCUCACAUGGUAAAAUGAGCAAUGGGAAUGUUAAUUUUGUCUUCUCCUAUAUAUCCUUUUGGGUUCUGAAGUUUGGACCCUUGAUAGCAUUUAAAUGAAAAUUUGCAACUGAUUUGGUAUUGGUAUCAGAGACUGCUCCACAAUUGCAACCUUUUUUU